rnacentral:rRNA from 1 species
AUGGCCAAGCUAAUUUGGAAGAAAAACCCAGCGACCCUAUUGCAGCCGUGGGAUCAUCAUCUGUUCAUGUUGCUACUGCUACUGAACUGGGCAUCAGUCGACAUGCGUCCUUUGAAUUUCAAUGAGCGACCUCAAGCUGGCACCGAUAACGACGAAGGUGUAAUUAGCUGGAUGUGGGAUUGCCCAGCUAUUCCUACUCCAACGGCCCAAGACUUGUAUGUUCACUUACAAGAUAAUCAGGGGAUGAAGAGGGGAUUACUGCAGCAACAACAGAGCAACAUCGAAGGAAUUAAUAUUAGUGCUGAUUCACCCUCUCGUUUUGUAUUUAACAAUGCUCGCAUGCUUCACGUGCAUGAUAGCUCUUCCAUCACAUGCCCACAAGGUUCAUACUGGAGGAGCCUUGAAUGGUGCCGAGUCGAGAGGUGCCCCAAGCUGCGUACUAUCUUUCGUACUGCCCAACAAAGUGAGGGUGAUAGCUUCUGUCAUCAGUUGAGCACAUUCUGGGCAUCUCAACUCCUGAAGGCACGCUACAUCUGGUAUUGGAGUGCAAUGCGUGUGUUUUCCUCUGUAAACAUAGUACUGUUGCACCUGGACUAUUGCCCUAGGCUCAUACAUGUGCUUCCCUUGUCCGAGUCAGUGGACACUUUGCCUUGCUUGGAUAUCCUGGAAAUUUUGUGUUGCGGAGAUCUUAGGGAGGUCUUCGCUUUGGACCCUAAGCAAAAGGAGCAGAAAGUUAUACAGUUUCCCAAGCUAAGGUGCAUCCACCUGUAUGAGCUUCCCAGCCUGCGGUGCAUUUGUGGGGGCAGGAUGUCAGCGCCCAAUUUGAAGACUGUCAAGAUAAGGGGCUGCUGGAACCUCAGGUGCCUUCCCGCUGUCAGCGGAAACAAAGAGAAGCUUCCUAGUGUUGAUUGCGAGAAGGAAUGGUGGGAUAACCUUGAGUGGGAUGGGGUGGAGGCGAACCACCACUCUUCACUCUAUGAGCAUAGCCACUCGUCAUACUACAAGGCCCAGCUGCCAAGAGGCACAGUUUUAAGUGCCAGCCAACAUAAUUUACUGUCCAAUCUACACUAUUCUAGUUCUGAUAGUAAUCAGUUCCUGUGGGUCGAUCUCUACGCGAGCACCGAUCCUAUCAUCCCGUGGUGCUUCCUGGACAUCAGAUGUCUUUGCUGCGAUGUGGAGCACCUCUGCAACAGUGUGGAUCUGCAUUGCCAUGGUGUGGUGGUGCAUCCACCAGUUUGGUUUGAUUUGAUUUGA